rnacentral:sRNA from 1 species
CUACUAUUACAAUGAUCUCUAUGUUGUAGAUCAUACUAUAUUUCUGCUACUAUUCUGCUAAAUGGACGGAACAAUAAAAUUACAUCUAAUAACCUAUUGUUAUGCCUAUAGAUUAGUGAGUUUCUCAACUCUCCUUAGAAAAGGUUCUUCUUGCAGGAGACGGGAAUUAACACAGAGACCUACAACUGGUCAGGACCGGUGUAGCGAAUAAAAGAUUGCAGAAUGCUUAGCCAUCGAUGGGAUAUCUAUAUCAUAUCUCCUCCCUGAAGACUCAGGGAUCAAUGUAGAAGAAGGAAGAGGAAGAUUCUAAGAGCCAGAGUUGGUGGAUGACUUCAAGGAAACAAUGUUUUCCAGAUACAACAAGUCAAUUGCACAAAUGAAUCCACAGAGAUUGUAACAGCAUACACAAAAUCUAGAUAAGAUCAAGCCAGACAAAAACCAAGCACGGAACACAGGAUGAACAUGAAGUCCUAUCCUUCGCUGAAGUGUGCAACCAAGACCACGUUGGAGGAUUCAUGCCCUUAGCACCAGGUUGGGACCACUGAGAUAUCCAACCUUGUGAACCGAGCAGCUGUGGGUUAUCAACCUCUUCAGCAUGGAGAUGGCCAUGUUGGACGACCUAGACCAUAUUGUCAGGUAUGGAGGCUGGCAGGAUUGCCCAAGCAGAAGACAGGAGGAACAACCUGUUGGGGAAAAACCUUUAGAGCAUUUGCUUGUGAGAGCUGUCAUAAGAAAUGCCUUGGUGUCGAAACAACAGAAUCUACUUCCUCAGAGUUUGGGAGUCCAAGACUCAAGAUGGAGGUGUCGGCAGGGUGGGAGUCCUUCUCUCCUGGUUUGUAAACAGUCGUCUUCUUGCUGUGUCCACACAAGCUCUUUCCACGUCAUGUGCUUUUAUUCCUGGUGCCUCUCAGAGUCAAUGUUUCUUUUUCUCAUAAGGGUACCAAUUAAGGAUGACUUAGGGACCCUAAUAGACUCCUUUUCUGUGUUUUGUAAAGAAUAAAUAUAAAUUUUUAUUAUAUUUCUUCACCUACCAUGACAAGCUUCAUUCUUUCAUUUACAAUAAACUAAC